UUUGGAGAUUAUGGACACCA
rnacentral:siRNA from 1 species